rnacentral:rRNA from 1 species
UAGGGAAUCUUCCGCAAUGGGCGAAAGCCUGACGGAGCAACGCCGCGUGAGUGAUGGAGGUCUUCGGAUCGUAAAACCCUGUUAUCAGGGAAGAACAAAUGUGUAAGUAACUGUGCACAUCUUGACGGUACCUGAUCAGAAAGCCACGGCUAACUACGUGCCAGCAGCCGCGGUAAUACGUAGGUGGCAAGCGUUAUCCGGAAUUAUUGGGCGUAAAGCGCGCGUAGGCGGUUUUUUAAGUCUGAUGUGAAAGCCCACGGCUCAACCGUGGAGGGUCAUUGGAAACUGGAAAACUUGAGUGCAGAAGAGGAAAGUGGAAUUCCAUGUGUAGCGGUGAAAUGCGCAGAGAUAUGGAGGAACACCAGUGGCGAAGGCGACUUUCUGGUCUGUAACUGACGCUGAUGUGCGAAAGCGUGGGGAUCAAACAGGAUUAGAUACCCUGGUAGUCCACGCCGUAAACGAUGAGUGCUAAGUGUUAGGGGGUUUCCGCCCCUUAGUGCUGCAGCUAACGCAUUAAGCACUCCGCCUGGGGAGUACGACCGCAAGGUUG